rnacentral:rRNA from 1 species
CCUACGGGUGGCAGCAGUGAGGAAUAUUGGUCAAUGGACGCAAGUCUGAACCAGCCAUGCCGCGUGCAGGAAGACGGCCCUAUGGGUUGUAAACCUCUUUUGCCGGGGAGCAAAGUGCCGCACGUGUGCGGUUUGUAGAGUACCCGGAGAAAAAGCAUCGGCUAACUCCGUGCCAGCAGCGGCGGUACUACGGGGGAUGCGAGCGUUAUCCGGAGUUAUUGGGUUUAAAGGGUGCGUAGGCGGACGCUUAAGUCAGCGGUAAAAUUGCGGGGCUCAACCUCGUCGAGCCGUUGAAACUGGGUGCCUUGAGUGGGCGAGAAGUACGCGGAAUGCGAGGUGUAGCGGUGAAAUGCAUAGAUAUAACGCAGAACUCCGAUUGCGAAGGCAGCGUACCGGCGCCCAACUGACGCUGAAGCACGAAGGCGUGGGUAUCGAACAGGAUUAGAUACCCUAGUAGUC